rnacentral:lncRNA from 1 species
CAUUUCAUUGAAAAUGAUGGUAAGUUCAACCAAACAGCAUACACCAUCAAGUCAAGUUAAGUUCUGGAUACAAAAUUCUCGACAUUAUUUAAUAGAAAAAGGGGAAUUUUCCUGGAUACAAAUGGAGGCACGGAAGGAGCCGAUAUUCUGAAGCUAGCUAGAUUGUAUUACUACUGCCUUGAUCUAGUUCUAAAAACUCCAGAAAAUGUAGACAUGAGAAGAACAUCUAGUAGCUCAGACUUUUAAUUAAAAUGAAGGGAUUGGGAAGGAGGAAUGACAUAACAGUUUAUGCCUAGUUAUUACAAAGGUGAUGAAACAUUCUAUUCUUUGCACACAAACAAACAACAUCAAGUAAUAAAUAAAUCAGGAAUGGAGAUAUAUCCAGGAGAUGCACUCAUGGAGCACAGUAGUAGUACUUGCGAACAACCAGCGAACGCACAGUA